rnacentral:rRNA from 1 species
AACGAACGCUGGCGGCAUGCCUAACACAUGCAAGUCGAACGAAGUCUUCGGACUUAGUGGCGCACGGGUGCGUAACGCGUGGGAAUCUGCCCUUGGGUGCGGAAUAACUUCUCGAAAGGGAUGCUAAUACCGCAUAAUGUCGUAAGACCAAAGAUUUAUCGCCCAAGGAUGAGCCCGCGUAAGAUUAGCUAGUUGGUGGGUAAAAGCCUACCAAGGCGACGAUCUUUAGCUGGUCUGAGAGGAUGAUCAGCCACACUGGGACUGAGACACGGCCCA